AACCUGAUUAUGAUGUCUGAAUUAUUGUUUUUAGGCCAUAAUCCUGUCACCUUAGGUCGAUCGGUAUCUCAGAUUGAAACCAGAAAAAAUGAGAAAUCAGUUAGUUUUUGGUAUUGAUUUCAGUUCCUAAACUUGUCUAGGUCACACCCAACAAUGGUUCUCCUGGGCCAUUAGCUCAGGUGGUUAGAGCGCACCCCUGAUAAGGGUGAGGUCCCUGGUUCAAGUCCAGGAUGGCCCAUUCGGUGUUGGGGGUAUAGCUCAGUUGGUAGAGCGCCUGCUUUGCAAGCAGGAUGUCAGCGGUUCGAGUCCGCUUACCUCCACUGAUCGACCGCCUGAUAGCGAACUUAAGGAGAUAUUUUCGUUGGUUUAGAUUUAGACGAAGUUCUUCAUGAAUGACCCUAGCUUCUUAUCAUUCUUCCUGAAACAGUGAAUUUCAGAUUGUUGAUAAGACGCUGGGCUCUCUGUAAUUACCAAAUUGCAGACAUGUUCAGUAGAACCUUGACAACUGCAUAGGUGAGAGUCUGGAAAGAAUAAAGCAUCUCAUGGAUGCAUAAUUCUUCUUUUUUAAAUUAGAUGUUUCUUCCUUUUAAGGGAAAACUAAUAAUUUAAAUUGUUGGAAUUAUGUUUAAUUCUUGAGCAAGAGCCGAGACUCUAUAACGUUCUUUUGUUGUUUAAAUCAUCAAAAGUCUGAUUUUUGAUUUAUUCCUAUAAUUGAGAUGCCAGAGUUUAGAUAUUUUAUCAAUUCUCUACUCUUAAGAAUAUGAACCAAAUCAGGAAGAAAAGUGUUAGUAACACAUGGCGUUAUAGAGAAUUAUGGUCAAGCUACAA
rnacentral:tRNA from 1 species